CUCUAUUGUGGGGGUGACAGUUUUUUUAUAAGGGAUUGGAAGCCACAUGCACAAGGACGUCGUCUGAUCAAGAACUUUAUUGCUGGCCAUUUUCGUCAGCGUGUCAAAGGUGAAAGGUUCGGGGUCAACUCAAAACGGCGGGCGGUCAGAGUCAGAGAGGACCGAAGAACUCAAGAAGAGUGCCACACAGGGUCCUUGUCCCAUGCACAUGUCCUUGAUCAGAGGAACCUCCAUGAACUGAUGGAGGAGAAAGAGGAGGAAGAGAAGGAUGAAGAGGAGGGGACGGGUCCAGAUGCGAGUAAGGGAAGAC